rnacentral:lncRNA from 1 species
AUCCAGCGGUAUGUGGGGCAGCUUCCUUUCUCCCCUCUCCUUGACACAACUUGUUGAAGAGGAAUGUGAGGGCUGGGUGUGAUCUUCCCAAACAUUAGAGUGAAAGGAAGUAACAUACCAAACAGAUGAUGGCAUAAAUGCAGCUGAAUCGAACUCUACCUCCACUCUGUGGGUCACUCCAGCAGUAUUUCAAAGUGCUAAAUCAAUAACAUCAACAACAAAAAUAAAAACUCAGAGCAGUACAUGUUUUCUUCAGCUCAGCAGUCUGAAAGUUCAAAAGUGCUGAGAUGGUUGGAUGCAGCUACUGAAGCCUGGAGCAUGUUGAAAACUGGGAGAGCUGACAGAUGUGGGAAAAAACCCCAGGCUUUAGCAGAAGAGGAAUCAUGUCACUUUGAUCAGUGUCACACUGAGCUGAAAGUAAAGUGCUAUUUUUUCCCAUGUCUGUAAGCACCUUAAGAAGGUAUUUGUAAAGCAGUUUGAAGGAGAAGAGACUGUUCUACUGGUUUCCACUAGAAGCCAGGCCAGGCACCUCUCAUGAAUUCCAGUCUAUAAAAAUGAUAGGUUUGCCAAUCCCUCCCUGGGGAAAAGAUGAGCAGAGAAUGAGACAAGAGGUCUGGGAGGGAAAGCCCUUAGAAACAUCUUACCCAAGAGGGAGCUCAGGCUAUAAUUUAUUUGGCUCUCUCAAACAGAAUAAAGGAAAGCCUAGAAAAGGGUGUGUGUUUGGA